CUGGGGUUUAAAAUGGAACUAUUACUUCUGAAUAUUGGAAGUUUCUCAUUAAGUAAGCCAUACAUGUACUCGAUGACCCAGUACUUUUCAGUUCUAGGUAUUUUAUGCAAGAUACACAAAUGUAUGUCAAAAAAACUUGUAUGAGAAUAUUUAGAACAGCUUUAUUCAUAAUUAUUUCAAAUUGCAAACCACCUAAAUGAUCAUUGUCAUGGUCCGUGCAUUUGGGUUAGAAAAAGAAUUUUCCUGAUUCAUAGCAGGGUGAAAAGAAAGAUGAGUUUACUGAGAUAAGAAAUGCUGCUAGCAUAGUGGGAUGACUUCCUGAUGAUCAGAGAGAGCUGAAUCUGAGCGUGUGAUCAUGUCUGUUUUAUAGUCUAGGGGGAGGAAAGGUCUUAGUGUACACUUGCUGAUAGGCUGAUUGGUUAGGGAAAGAGGGUCUUACGAUACACUUGCUGGUUUGUUGGGGGCAUAUAUAAGGUCCUUAUAGAGGUGGGGGAAGAGUGGGCCUUUCAUAGUAGGGGUCAGGAAGGACUAGGACAGUUGCUCAAGUUGGGAGGGGGCACUACAAUGAGAUGGAUGGGGCAAUGAUAAGGAUCUAGUAAUUCUUUUUGGGGGGUCUAGUAAAUCUUUAAUUUUUUUUUUAACUUUUUUUACUUUUUAGGGCUGCACCCACUGCAUAUGGAAGUUCUCAGGGUGAAAUCAGAGCUGCAGCUGCCAGCCCACACCACAGUAACAGCAACUCAGGAUCUGAGCCAUGUCUGCAACAUACACCACAGCUCACAGCAAUGCUGGAUCCUUAACCCACUGAGCAAGGCCAGGGAUCAAACCUGCAUCCUCUGGAGUUCCCAUUGUGGCACUGCAGAAAUGAAUCUGACUAGGAACCAUAAAGUCCCACAACCAUCAACAGACUAAUUGGAUGCCCAUAACCAAAACAAAACAAAACAAAACAAAAACCCAGCACAACCAGAUCAUCUGAGAAAUCCAUCCAUCACUGCAACCAGAAGAGAGUGGAUCGGACCUUAUCAGUGCCUACAAGAGUCAAGGUAGUCACAGUGGUAACAAUGGCAGUAGAGGCAACUGGUGGAUGAUCCAGCAGAGGUGACUGAAAAUGAAAUUCUCUCUGGCUGCUCUGGUGCAGCUGGAGGGACAUGUUCCUCUUCAUCAGCACCUGGGUUUCUGUAAAGGGACCUCUAUGGCUGGGCAGAGGGAAGAAAAAUGAAGAAGGCAGAGAAAGGAAUGUAAACAAACACAUUUGUCUGCCCUGGGAUUUCAGGGCAAGGUUCACCCACCUCUGGGACUCCCCAACUUGAGGAUGUCCCCACUGGUUUGUGUAUACACCCAAAACCCCAAUGUGCCAAGCCCACACCUUCCCUAAUUCUGUCACCAGCCGGUUUUUGUUUUGUUUUGUUUUUGCUUUUUAUUCCUGGAUUAUAGGUACACACCUAACUAUAGCAGCUAGUCAACUGUGGUAAGAGAAACCAAUGAUUGUGCUAUAGUGCCACCUUUUUGAAAAGAAAGAAAAAUUUUGAAUUGCCAAUAUAUUGACAUACUAAAUUCAAACUAAACAAAGCUUUCCCUAAAUAAGAAAAGUGUGUGCUGCUUCAGAUGAGAUCAACAAAGCACAUUUUAUAAAAUGCUUUGCAAAGUCAUGGUAAUAUGACAUCACAAAAAGAAAAUGAGUUUUCCAGCAAUUGAUCUCAAAGCCAUGGAAUAUUGUAAUCUAAUUAUUAAAGAAUUCAAAAUAGCUCUUAUUAAGUAAGUCAACAAGGUGCAGGAAAAUUCAGAGGUAUUUCAAAGAACUCAGGAAUAAAAUUAGUAAAAAGAAGGAGUACUUUACCA
rnacentral:lncRNA from 1 species